CAGUCGAGCGGAACGAUGGAAGCUUGCUUCCAGGCGUCGAGCGGCGGACGGGUGAGUAAUGCAUAGGAAUCUGCCCGAUAGUGGGGGAUAACGUGGGGAAACUCACGCUAAUACCGCAUACGUCCUACGGGAGAAAGCAGGGGAUCUUCGGACCUUGCGCUAUCGGAUGAGCCUAUGUCGGAUUAGCUAGUUGGUGAGGUAACGGCUCACCAAGGCGACGAUCCGUAGCUGGUCUGAGAGGAUGAUCAGCCACACUGGGACUGAGACACGGCCCAGACUCCUACGGGAGGCAGCAGUGGGGAAUAUUGGACAAUGGGGGAAACCCUGAUCCAGCCAUGCCGCGUGUGUGAAGAAGGCCUUCGGGUUGUAAAGCACUUUCAGCGAGGAAGAAGGCCUGAGGGCUAAUACCCUUCAGGAAGGACAUCACUCGCAGAAGAAGCACCGGCUAACUCCGUGCCAGCAGCCGCGGUAAUACGGAGGGUGCGAGCGUUAAUCGGAAUUACUGGGCGUAAAGCGCGCGUAGGUGGCUUGAUAAGCCGGUUGUGAAAGCCCCGGGCUCAACCUGGGAACGGCAUCCGGAACUGUCAGGCUAGAGUGCAGGAGAGGAAGGUAGAAUUCCCGGUGUAGCGGUGAAAUGCGUAGAGAUCGGGAGGAAUACCAGUGGCGAAGGCGGCCUUCUGGACUGACACUGACACUGAGGUGCGAAAGCGUGGGUAGCAAACAGGAUUAGAUACCCUGGUAGUCCACGCCGUAAACGAUGUCGACUAGCCGUUGGGUUCCUUGAGAACUUUGUGGCGCAGUUAACGCGAUAAGUCGACCGCCUGGGGAGUACGGCCGCAA
rnacentral:rRNA from 1 species